rnacentral:tRNA from 1 species
GGGUGUGUAGCUCAUAUGGUAAAGUGCUCGCUUCGCAUGUGAGAGGUAAGGGGUUUAAUUCCACGCACUUCCA